rnacentral:lncRNA from 1 species
ACUUCUACACAAGGAGAUUCAUCUUCCUCUUUGACUGAACAUCAAAUAGCAUUCCCUCCACAAGUGGAGGGACUAACUUGUCAUUAACAAGACAUCCAGGGACUCUUUCUUUCCUAAGGAACAUCACCACACUCAGCCAGCUGCACAAUCUGCCAUAGCUGUGUUCUGAGAACUUCUGUAAACAAAGUAAUAUUAAUUAUGGAGAUGAUGAAAUCACAAUCAAAAUUCCAAACUAAGUUCAUCUGCAACCCACGAUCACACUACAUCUUGGCGGGAAUAUGCUGGUUUGAAGUAGUCAAGGGCUGGAGUUUGAAAGAGGAACAAAUGAAGCCUGACCUUGGGAGGAACUUCCAAAGAUUCUGAGCCAACUCCCAACAGGGAGCUCUCAGGAUUCAGCGAGUGUCCUGAGUGUGCUGUCUGUCUGUGACGCCGGCUAGGCCAAGCCUGAUGGUUCCUCAUGAGAAUGUCCUGGCCUGUGCUGCUGAAGGUGUGGUCCACAGUGGGGUCAGUCUGCUGUUUCCAGUCUCCAAUGCAACUCAUCCAUGAACAUAUGUGCAGAGUUUGUAAACCUUCCAUUUUUCUGUUAUUUCUGUAUGUAUUUAUUGAUUUUUUUGUGUAAAAUGUAAAACAUGGGUUCUGUAUUUUGUGUUUCAUUAUCUUCAUAGUUAAUAUUACUUUAUUUACAAAGGUUUAGGUCUGGGAUGGAUAGAAAAUGAAAACUGUCCCUUCACCGUGGAGUUUGAGAAGCCCCGUGGAGGAUUCAAGUAAUUUAGGCAUUGGAAUCCACCUCCUGUGGUCACUUUCAAGCCUAAAAUCCGCGGAGGAUCUGAACUUGGGCAGGGAAACCUGAGAAUAAACAUGAGGAAUGGAGA